AACAAAGAGUAUAAGUUUAACGUAAAACAGUCAUAAUUGAAAAGGAGAUGAACAAUAGAACUCAAAGAUGAUAUAAAUGAAUAUUAUAAAUGAAUAGACAGCUAACCAUAUAACUCACCUUUGAAAUCCGCAUGUGGAUGGAGCCGUAACCGGUCUGCGUCAAUAGGAAAGCGACAAUCUUCAAUGGGAGACAGAAUAAAGUCGUAUGUGAAAGAAACAGUUAGACUAUGUUCUGCAACCCGACAGACCUCUUUGCUUUUGGAACCGGUUGUAAAUCUUUCCUGGUUUGGGAUGCAAGUAUCAUUUAACACGACUUGAUUAACUCUCCUAGGAGUCGAAAAUUUUGGGUUAAAGACACAAACCUGUUCGUCCAUGAUGACCAUUUCCAGUCCACUAAAGUUCCAUACUUUUUCUGUAUUUUUCGGGUGAGAUGUGAAAUACAAAGCGAGAGGAGAUUUCCCGGUUGAAUAGGUGACUAUCGGUUGGGUUUCGCCAUGGCUUGCGCUUAUUGAGAGGAGCUUUUCGGGUUUUGAUUUGUAGCAAGCUAAAAAGAAUGAGGUUAUAAAGAAUGAAAAAGAGAGGGAAACGAAAGGAAAUCAUUAAGAGGGAAUUAAAACGAACGGUUGAUUGCAAUUGCAUAGGAGGAUGUGUAACGAAGAUUGGAAGAAGGUGAAAGAAGAAGAUUGAUUCGAUGACGAUUCUAACUUGGGCCGUAUAUGAGGCGUGAAGAGUUGAUUUCGGAGGAUUUAAGAGCCCAAACGCAGGAGGCCCGUUUUUAAACAAAAUUGGCUAAGUAGAGAUGACGUGGCAUAUUUAAGUCUCCCUGAUUGGAUGAUUUUUUUAAGGACGUGGACACUAUAUCCCAUUUUACUUAUUCUUUGAUGUUUGAUAAUAUAAAAAUAUUUCAAUAGAAAGCUGAUCAACAAACAAUUAUUUUAUGAAUCUAAAAUGUAAGCCUAUAAACAAAUUACGAAUAUAGCCCAUCAACAAAUGUUUUCUUCUCUAACAAACCCCAAAUGACUAAGAAGAAAGUAAUCGUGUAUGUGAUGGAGAGGUUUCACCAUUUUUUCCUAUAAUAAUGUAAAAUUCAUUUGUUGCUCAAAAAGAAGUAAUCUAAAAUUCAUUUAAAUCUCAAACUCAGAGAGGCCAAGAACUGAAAAUGGCUCAGGGAAGAUUAUGCAACAGAGACGGCUUGAUCUUGACGGCAAUGGUGUUAACGGAGUUUUCUAACGUAGGAGUAAACACUUUGGUCAAAUCAGUGACUUCCAAAGGAGUUACCCAUGUGCGGUUCUCGUCUACUCCUACGGUUUUGGAUCUCUUCUUCUUCUUCCUCCUCUUGUCUUCUUCUCCUUCAGAUCAAGAUCUCUUCCUCCGCUGACUUCUUUAAUUCUUUACAAAAUGGGACUUCUUGGUCUAAUAGUAAGUGCAGCCCAAAUUGCAGGGUACAAAGGGAUAAAAUACAGCUCGCCUACUUUAUCUUAAGCCAUAAGUAAUGUCAAUCCUGCAUUUACCUUCAUAUUCGCCGUAAUAUUCCGGUGUUUCAGAUGGAGUAGGCCUGCGUGUUCUUGGCCCAAGUCAUAUCAGCAUUGCUUCUGGCCCAUCUGUCUUGCUGAAGCCCAAGCUAAGUUCACAAAUCUCCACCAGCUUGGUUAAGGCCCGAUCCUGGCCCACCUCGAUGAACCCUCGUGCCGACAGCCUCACGCCUUGGUCUCUUUUGUCUUUUUGCGAAAGAAAGACAUCAGUCUCUACUCUCUCUCUCUCGCCGUCUCUCUUCUCGCGAACCUCCACCAGAGAAAUGGUCUUGGCUCAGAUUUCCGAGAGAUCUCGAUCAGCUCCGUUGUACCGACGUCCCUCUGCUCCUCUGUUAUAUCCAGGUACAUCUGAUCUCCAUUUUAGCUUUGAGAUUAGGGUCUUCUGUAAAGAAAGUCGAGAGCUUUCUUGGGAAUUUCACUGAUCCUUUACUUCCUUGUGUCUUGCAUGUCUUCUCCGACAUGAUUCUGGCUCUUACUCGAGCUCCACUGUCACGCUCCACCUCUUCUGUGAACCGAGACCUUCUCCACCUGACCUGGUGAACUUACCACUCUCGAUCAACUCUCUUUCUUUAGACUUUGCAGCACCAGUAUCCUCAGCUAGGUUCAGUGUGUCUCUCCCAUACUUGAGAGUCUCCUUGAGUUGAUCAUAUUUAGCAGGGUCUAUCGCAGGUGCAGGGUCAACAAUUCCAGCCAAUCCCUUUCCCGAGUCCUUCAUGGCAGACUCAGGUUCAUCCUUUGCGUCUGAUCCCUCCUUUAGAAGCUUCUCGUCAGUGAGAAUGGACUUAAGCCCAAGCACUCCAAAAUGAGCAAGCAUCCUCACCUUCCACAGGGCGAAAUCACCAUCACCCUCGAACCGGUCAAUAUCCACACGUUCCUUCGAAGUCACCAUUGAACAGGUGUUUCAGAUGGAGUGGGCCUGCGUGUUCUUGGCCCAAGUCAUAUCAGCAUUGCUUCUGGCCCAUCUGUCUUGCCGAAGCCCAAGCUAUGUUCACAAAUAAAAAAUUGAAAACAUGAACCCCAAAUGGGGGUUCAUUGAUGUUCAUGCUCUUAUGUCUUUACAGUCAUAUUGGGUUAUUGGAGGUGGCCUUCUUGCUCUUUAGAACAUUCUUUACUCCUUCUCUUACCUUGUUAUGGCACACAUAAUGAGUCAAUAUCCAUCUACUAUCGUUGUAACGCUCGUACACAAUGUUUGCAUUGUCUGUGUGUGUGCAUUCGUUAAUCUUCUGGUUGAGAAGGAUGACUCAAAGGCAUGGAUGAUACGAUUUGCAAAACCUUGAUUAGCCUUGUAGCAACGGGUAUUUUGAAUUCAGGAUACUAUAUUGUACAUACAUGGGCAGUGAUUUACAAGGGACCCGUGUAUUUGUCAAUGUUCAAACCAUUAUCUAUAUUGAUCGCAGCCGCAUCAACGACCAUUUUCCUCAGCGAGUCCAUCUACCUUGGAAUUUUGAUAGGAGGAAUAUUGAUAUCAGUAGGAUUUUGCAUGGUGUUGUGGGGGAAGGCCAAGGAAGCCAAAGUGGACAUAUUAGGAACCAUUGAGUCGUCUCCUUCACAUGAGGCUCCUCUCUUGGGAAAUUAAAAGAUACCAACUGUGUUUUCUUUAUUCUUCUGCUAUAUCUCUCUAUUAUAUAUUUUUGAUCUAUAAUGUUCUUAGUUUGAUUAUUUAUGUAAUAAGAAGACCAUGACUUCAAUAUCUGUCUCUCAUAAAUUCGAUUAUGCUUGGUUAAUGUACAACCGAAAAAGUAAAUCUUUAUAACUCCAACAAAUUGUAUCCUGGUCUUUGUUUGUAUUGUGUUAAAGACAUUUUUCUGUGUAGUUGCUUAAAGAUCUUUAUAACUUUAA